ensembl:lncRNA novel transcript
UGAUGGCCAUGAGAGAGAAGCUGAGAGCAACCAGAGCCCACAGCUCCAUGCUGGUCCCCCAUCUGCAAACGCUGGGCCCCAUGGGAGCUGUGACUCGGUUUCCAGCUCGUCACAGGGCUGGCCGAGGCCCCGGCAUGUCAAGCCAUCUCAGGUUGGGCAGGAAUGUGGUCCGUGUUCACAUGUGUCUCUGUGUGUGUGAGAGAGAGGGGUCAGCUGGGACGCUGGGGUGGCAGGGACAGUCCUGGCUCACCCCUCAUCCUCCCUCGACCUCGACUCCCUCCACAUGAGGAGCCCCCCCUUCCUGGCUAUCCUGUGAGUUGAGCUUCCUCUGCUGGGAGGGCUUUGUCAGAGGUUCCCUGCGGUUCCAGAAGGAAAGCUGGCUGCAGGGAGGGCCGGGCACUGGACACCGUGUGGCUGAGCCUGUGGCGGGGGCUGCACAGCUGGGUUCCCAGCCCCCCUCCUUGUCCCCACCCCACCGCACUGGGAGGCCCUGCUGAGGGGCCAGAGUCCGGCUGCAGGUCCCACGGGUGGGGGUGGGGCCCCUCAUUAGCACUGCAGCUGACACUGAGGGCUUCCACCUCGCUAAUUGAUUAAACUGUUUAGAAACCAGG